CUAAAUAUUUGUUGAUUGGUUAGAUGAAGAAUAAAGUUUAGAAAGCAUGAUUAGAGAAGAGUAGAGUGAUUAACCCCAUACACUUGAGUGAUUAGAGUGCAUAUACACCAUCAGUGAGGGUUCAAUGCUUGAUUCUAUGUUCCCUGCUUUCAUGAGCUGGCUUCUUACAAGUUUACUUCUCUUUAUUGUGUGAUUUAAAUUAGUGGA
rnacentral:lncRNA from 1 species